CCGGCAGCUGGCUACACGCUGCCUUAUAUCGAAGCGCCGCACUCUGGCGCUGAUGACAUAAAAUACAUCUGCAAGAAUUUUUCAAAUUCAAGCAGCAGUGGUCUCAGGACUUUGAUAAGGCAGCUAGACGGU
rnacentral:sRNA from 1 species